rnacentral:lncRNA from 1 species
GGCGUUUGGGGAAUGUUUUGGGCUAGGUUGGGCUUGAUUAGGCUUUGGGCUAGGCUAGUGUUUGGGUUUUUUAAGUUUUGGGCUUGCUGAUGUAAUUUGGGUUUAUUAUUUUUUGGUCUUGUAACUAUGGCCUGAUGGACUUUUAAUAAUUUUUUGUUUUUAUUUAUAAAAUUGGGCCGGGCAAAUUGGGUAUUACAGCUACC